CAAGUGUUCAUCAAUUGUAGCAUUUCAUCAUAUGGUAAGAUAUCAAUGCGUAAAACUGUGAAGCAAGAUUUUGUUUGAUAUCUUGAUACAGGGCAUGAUGUACACAUUUCGAAUAUUUUAGCAAGUGUAGCAUUGCAUCACAUGGUAAGAUAUCAGCUCGUAUGAUGCAAAUUUUUGUUUGAUAUCUUGAUACAGGGCAUAUAGCAAUGAUAGCAAUCAUAUAUUUCUUGGUGAUGCAAGCAUGGGAUAAUCAUAGCAUAGUGUUUAUAGCAUCAAUUCAUAUAUUUCUCCCCCUUUUUUUUUAAGUAUUUCAUCUUAAGUGAUCGAUUUCAUGUUAGCAUGCCUUUUCAUUUAUGUCAAAUGAAAACAUGCAUCAACGUUUAGGAUCGUGAAAUGAAUUUCAUCAUAAAACCAUCAAUCACAAAAAUCAUCAUGUAUAACUUUAAAAUCUCAAAUCUUUAUUCUUAUGUCAAAAUCAUACAUUAUAUUUAACAAACAAAGACAAUGAAAAAUAUCAAGCCUUCCAGACAAAAGCCAUGUAUCGUCAUUGAAAAGCAAUAUGAAAAUCAUCAAAAUAUACAUUCUUGCUUUUCAAGCACAUAAAUAAGAUUUAAUCUCACUAGGUGUACAAUCAUUAGAUUUCUAUCUUGCAUUAACAUAAGACAUGUAAUUUUCAUUAUCAUUUUCAAAAUUACAAGCAUGAUCAUAUUUUUGCAUUUUCAUUAUUAAAUUAUUAAAAAUGUAAUUUUCAAGAAAAUUUAAAGAAAAAGAAAAAUGCAUCAUGAAAAACAUCAUGUAAUUUCGAAGUAAAUUAAAGGCAUUUUGAUUACCUCAGCGUCGAAAGGCGUAAAGGCGUAGUUUGCCACCUCGCCUUUGUUGAUUUUCUCCUCGUCUUCAGAGGAGCUCGAUUCAUCCCAAUUUUUGUUCUUCUUCUU
rnacentral:lncRNA from 1 species